UGUCCCAACCGCCGCGGUAAUACAAAGGGUGCAAGCGUUAAUCGGAUUUACUGGGCGUAAAGCGCGCGUAGGCGGCUAAUUAAGUCAAAUGUGRAAUCCCCGAGCUUAACUUGGGAAUUGCAUUCGAUACUGGUUAGCUAGAGUGUGGGAAAGGAUGGUAGAAUUCCAGGUGUAGCGGUGAAAUGCGUAGAGGUCUGGAGGAAUACCGAUGGCGAAGGCAGCCAUCUGGCCUAACACUGACGCUGAGGUGCGAAAGCAUGGGGAGCAAACAGGAUUAGAUACCCUGGUAGUCCAUGCCGUAAACGAUGUCUACUAGCCGUUGGGGCCUUUGAGGCUUUAGUGGCGCAGCUAACGCGAUAAGUAGACCGCCUGGGGAGUACGGUCGCAAGACUAAAACUCAAAUGAAUUGACGGGGGCCCGCACAAGCGGUGGAGCAUGUGGUUUAAUUCGAUGCAACGCGAAGAACCUUACCUGGCCUUGACAUAGUAAAGAACUUUCCAGAGAUGGAUUGGUGCCUUCGGGAACUUACAUACAGGUGCUGCAUGGCUGUCGUCAGCUCGUGUCGUGAGCUGUUGGGUUAAGUCCCGCAACGAGCGCAACCCUUUUCCUUAUUUGCCAGCGAGUAAUGUCGGGAACUUUAAGGAUACUGCCAGUGACAAACUGGAGGAAGGCGGGGACGACGUCAAGUCAUCAUGGCCCUUACGGCCAGGGCUACACACGUGCUACAAUGGUCGGUACAAAGGGUUGCUACCUAGCGAUAGGAUGCUAAUCUCAAAAAGCCGAUCGUAGUCCGGAUUGGAGUCUGCAACUCGACUCCAUGAAGUCGGAAUCGCUAGUAAUCGCGGAUCAGAAUGCCGCGGUGAAUACGUUCCCGGGCCUUGUACACACCGCCCGUCACACCAUGGGAGUUUGUUGCACCAGAAGUAGCUAGCCUAACUGCAAAGAG
rnacentral:rRNA from 1 species